rnacentral:rRNA from 1 species
GAAGCCCAGCUUGCUGGGUGGAUUAGUGGCGAACGGGUGAGUAACACGUGAGCAACCUGCCCCUGACUCUGGGAUAAGCGCUGGAAACGGCGUCUAAUACUGGAUACGAGACGUGAUCGCAUGGUCAACGUUUGGAAAGAUUUUUCGGUUGGGGAUGGGCUCGCGGCCUAUCAGCUUGUUGGUGAGGUAAUGGCUCACCAAGGCGUCGACGGGUAGCCGGCCUGAGAGGGUGACCGGCCACACUGGGACUGAGACACGGCCCAGACUCCUACGGGAGGCAGCAGUGGGGAAUAUUGCACAAUGGGCGCAAGCCUGAUGCAGCAACGCCGCGUGAGGGAUGACGGCCUUCGGGUUGUAAACCUCUUUUAGCAGGGAAGAAGCGAGAGUGACGGUACCUGCAGAAAAAGCACCGGCUAACUACGUGCCAGCAGCCGCGGUAAUACGUAGGGUGCAAGCGUUAUCCGGAAUUAUUGGGCGUAAAGAGCUCGUAGGCGGUUUGUCGCGUCUGCUGUGAAAUCUGGGGGCUCAACCCCCAGCCUGCAGUGGGUACGGGCAGACUAGAGUGCGGUAGGGGAGAUUGGAAUUCCUGGUGUAGCGGUGGAAUGCGCAGAUAUCAGGAGGAACACCGAUGGCGAAGGCAGAUCUCUGGGCCGUAACUGACGCUGAGGAGCGAAAGGGUGGGGAGCAAACAGGCUUAGAUACCCUGGUAGUCCACCCCGUAAACGUUGGGAACUAGUUGUGGGGUCCAUUCCACGGAUUCCGUGACGCAGCUAACGCAUUAAGUUCCCCGCCUGGGGAGUA